UCCCUGCCGCCGCGGACCCGCGCGGAGGCGGAGGCUCGGGUGCAUUCAAGAUUCGGCUCCACCCGUAACCCACCGCCAUGGCCGAGGAAGGCAUUGCUGCUGGAGGUGUAAUGGACGUUAAUACUGCUCUGCAAGAGGUGCUGAAGACCGCCCUCAUCCACGAUGGCUUAGCACGUGGAAUUCGCGAAGCCGCGAAAGCUUUAGACAAGCGCCAGGCCCAUCUGUGUGUGCUUGCAUCCAACUGUGAUGAGCCCAUGUAUGUCAAGUUGGUGGAGGCCCUUUGUGCUGAGCAUCAGAUCAACCUGAUUAAAGUUGAUGACAACAAGAAACUAGGGGAAUGGGUAGGCCUCUGUAAAAUUGACAGAGAGGGAAAACCCCUAAAGUGGUUGGUUGCAGUUGUGUGGUAGUUAAGGACUAUGGCAAAGAAUCUCAGGCCAAGGAUGUCAUCGAGGAGUACUUCAAAUGCAAGAAAUGAUGAAAUAAAAAACUGAGCUCUUGUUUUUCAUCUCUGGCUUUUUAUUUGGGGCAGUAAAAUUAAAGUCUGUGUUAAUGAAGGACAAAAGAUUCAUUGCAAAAUAACUGGAUGCAUCCUAUUUGUCCUGGUUUCUAAGUGGAAGCAUUUUUCCCAAUCAGUAAGUAAUUUCAGUUGGCAAGUAGAAGAGCCCAAGUGAAGAUAGGCUUGGUGAUGGUCAGGGUUUUCUUGGGUGGGUAUUUAUGACUGAUAAGCCAAACUGUAACCUAGAAAAGUGAACUGGACAAAUCAGCAAAGUACAAAGGGGACUGGAUAGUGAGAGGGUAACAGGCAGGAAGGCCAGGGGUCUCCAAAUGGA